rnacentral:rRNA from 1 species
AGAGUUUGAUCCUGGCUCAGGACGAACGCUGGCGGCGUGGAUUAGGCAUGCAAGUCGAGCGACGCACCCUCGGGUGACGGAGCGGCGAACGGGUGAGUAACACGUGAACAAUCUACCCUCUCAUUCUGGAUAAUUGGCUGAAAAGCCUUGUAAUACAGGGGAGGUUCCGGUUUUGGCAUCAUUACCGGAACGAACAGGCAACUGGUGCGAGGAGGAGUUCGCGGAUUAUCAGGUAGUUGGUGGGGUAACGGCCUACCAAGCCUACGACGAUUAGCUGGUCUGAGAGGAUGGUCAGCCACAUUGGAACUGAGAUACUGUCCAGACUCCUACGGGAGGCUGCAGUCGAGGAUCUUGGGCAAUGCACGAAAGUGUGACCCAGCGACGCCGCGUGAAGGAUGAAGGCCCUCUGGGUUGCAAACUUCUUUUACGGGAGAAGAAUCAAUGACUGUACCCAGCGAAUAAGACACAGCUAACUACGUGCCAGCAGCCGCGGUAAUACGUANGUGGCAAGCGUCGUCCGGAUUUACUGGGUGUAAAGGGUGCGCAUGCGGGCCUUUAAGUAGGAAGUGAAAGGUUGGAGCUCAACUCCGACACUGCUUCCUAUACUGGGGGCCUGGGGUCUCGGAGAGGNUGCAGAGCGACACGUGUACCGGUGAAUUGCGUUGAUAUGUGUCGGACGUCAAUUGCGAAAGCAGCCUCCUGGACUAGUACUGACCCUCAUGCGCCAAAGCCAGGGUAGCAACCCGGAUGAGAUAUCCCUGGUGUUAU